AACAGGGUUAGGUGAGAGGAGGAGGAGAAGGAGGAGAACAGGGUUAGGUGAGAGGAGGAGGAGAAGGAGGAGAACAGGGUUAGGUGAGAGGAGGAGGAGGAGAACAAGGUUAGGUGAGAGGAGAAGGAGGAGAACAAGGUUAGGUGAGAGGAGAAGGAGGAGAACAAGGUUAGGUAAGAGGAGAAGGAGGAGAACAAGGGGAGAGUGGGGUGACAAGGAGAUCCUCUGGAGGAACAGACCAACAUUAUUAACAAAGGGACCUGGAACACUGCAUUAUUGAUGGAGGGAAGAGGAAGAGAGAAAGGAGAGGUGGACAGGUGGAGGCUAUUAUGCCAUCAGGAAGGAGAGGUGCAAAGGGAAGGAUCUCUCCAUCUCUCUUCCUGAUUAGUAAAGUAUGGGGAGAAGUUUCUCACACACUAGCUGCACGAACACAUGGAGAGAGAGAAUGUCAUCUACAUUUGAUUUGGUUACCUAAGCUAUUUAAGUACAGUGCAUUUGGAAAGUAUUCAGACCACUUGACUUAUUCCACAUUUUGUUACGUUACAGCCUUAUUUUAAAAUGUAUUAAAUAAAACAUUUUCCUCAUCAAUCUACACACAAUACUCCAAAAUGACAGUGAAAAUAGGUUUUUAGAAAUUUUAGCAAAUGUAUUAAAAUACAUAAGUAUUCAAACCCUUUGCUAUGAGACUCGAAAUUGAGCUCAGGUGCAUCCUGUUUCCAUUGAUCAUGCUUGAGAUAUUUCUACAACUUGAUUCGAGUCCAUCUGUGGUAAAUUCAAUUGAUUGGACAUGAUUUGGAAAGGCACACACCUGUCUAUAUAAGGUCUAUAUAAGGUCCCACAGUGCAUUUCAGAGCAAAUACCAAGCAAUGCGGUCGAAGGAAUUGUCCGUAGAGCUCUGAGACAGGAUUGUGUGAGGCACUGGGGAAGGGUUCCAAAAAAUGUAUGCUGAAUUGAAGGUCCCCAGGAACUCAGUGCCUCCAUCAAUCUUAAAUGGAAGAAGACUCUUCCUAGAGCUGGCCGCCCUGCUAAACUGAGCAAUCGGGGGAGAAGGGCCUUGGUCAGGGAGGUGACCAAGAACCCGAUGGUCUGACAGAGCUCCAAGUUCUUCUGUGGAGAUGGGAGAACCUUCUGGAAAGACAACCAUCUCUGCAGCGCUCCACCAAUCAGGCCUUUAUGGUAGAGUGGCUAGAUGGAAGCCACUCCUCAGUAAAAGGCACGACAGCCCGCUUGGAGUUAAAGGACUCUCAGACCAUGAGAAACAAGAUUCUCUGGUCUGAUGAAACCAAGAUUGAACUCUUUGGUCUGAAUGCCAAGCGUUACAUCUGGAGGAAACCUGGCACCAUCCCUACGGUGAAGCAUGGUGGUUGCAGCAUCAUGCUGUAGGGAUGUUUUUCAGUGGCAGGGACUGAUGCUCUCCAUCCAACCUGACAGAGCUUGAGAAUGGGAGAAACUGCCCAAAUACAGGUGUGACAAGCUUGUAUCGUCAUACCCAAGAAGACUCUAAACUGUAAUCGCUGCCCACAGUGCUUCAACAAAGUACUGAGUAAAGGGUCUGAAUAAUUAAUUAGCAAAAAUGUCAAAAAUCCAGUUUUUGCUUUGUCAUUAUAGGGUACAGUAUGGUGUGUAGAUUGAUGAGGGGAAAGAACAAUUUAAUAUAUUUUAGAACAUGAAUGUAACAUACCAAAAUGUGUAAAAAUUCAAGGGGUCUGAAUCCUUUCUGAAUGCACUGUGUCUCAUUAAUGACCAUGUGUUCCUGCUUUCUUUUCCAGAAUAAAGUGCUGAACAUUGACAGACUGAAGGUGAAACUUCAGAUCUGGGACACAGCUGGACAGGAGCGUUUCCGCAGCGUCACACACGCCUACUACCGUGACGCCAAUGCUCUCCUGCUGCUGUAUGACGUGACCAACAGAACAUCUUUUGACAACAUCAAGGUAGGACUCUCCAUUUAUCUUCUUCUUUUCUCUUCCCCCCUCUUCUUUUGUUCUAAUAAGCCCUGAAAAUAGCCUGUAAUAAGCUGUUUGAUAAUGGAGAAAAUAUGUCUGUCUCUCAAGUGUCAUUUUGUAACAAAGCCAUAACAGUGUAAUGAUAUAUCAUUAUAUUGCGCGUGGGAGGGAUGUAAUUUUCUUUAUCUGCUGCUGCUGCACCUGUCAGCAAUAGGGAGAGGGGGAGAGAUUGUACCCCUGUGUGUGUGAUUGACAGUGUAGCUUUAGCCCUUGGGGGGCUGUUAGUCCCGGCUGUCUGUGUGACUCUGUCUCCCUAUAGGCUGCCUCAAGGACCAUCCGUCUGUCUGUCUUUCUGUCCGUCCGUCUCCCAGCCUGCCUAUCUCUUGUUCUCCUCAUCCCCAGAGCUCUCAGGGGAGCCUCUAACAGUGUGCUGAUGGCCACUGAACGGAUGUGGCUCACAGGGCGUGUUAUCUGUCACUCUGUGGUGUUGCCUCAGACCUGUGAUUAGUGAUUCUACGAGAUGGAAAAAUCAGGUGUUCUGUCUACUCACCACAUAACUUGUGCUAUUCAAUUUCAAGUUUGAUGUUUUUUCUAACGUCAAAUGUUUUUAGGGAAGCCUAUGCAAUUUUCUGAAAAGAUAUGGUAAAGUUUUACACCAAAGCAUCAACACUUGUGGCAAUCAUUGGUACAUUGAUUUGUAUUCAUUGUUUCCCUUACACCUCAUGCCCAUGAACUGGACCUGCUGCCUACCAGACCUGCGUUCAAAUACUAUUUGAAAUAAUAGUAUUAAUUUUUACAUUUACAUUUUAGUCAUUUAGCAGAC